rnacentral:rRNA from 1 species
GACGAACGCUGGCGGCGUGCUUAACACAUGCAAGUCGAACGCUGAAGCUCAGCUUGCUGGGUGGAUGAGUGGCGAACGGGUGAGUAACACGUGAGUAACCUGCCCUCUUCUUUGGGAUAACGCCCGGAAACGGGUGCUAAUACUGGAUAUUCACUGAUUCUCGCAUGGGGGUUGGUGGAAAGGUUUUUUCUGGUGGGGGAUGGGCUCGCGGCCUAUCAGCUUGUUGGUGGGGUGAUGGCCUACCAAGGCUUUGACGGGUAGCCGGCCUGAGAGGGUGACCGGGCACAUUGGGACUGAGAUACGGCCCAGACUCCUACGGGAGGCAGCAGUGGGGAAUAUUGCACAAUGGGCGAAAGCCUGAUGCAGCGACGCCGCGUGAGGGAUGGAGGCCUUCGGGUUGUAAACCUCUUUCACUCAUGGUCAAGCCGCAGCUUUGGGUUGUGGUGAGGGUAGUGGGUAAAGAAGCGCCGGCUAACUACGUG